UGGUAAACAGAGCUGUAAACCAACAGCGUGGAAGCUAGUGAGAAGGUCUUUGUCAGCGUCGAGAGAUCCAUGCUGUAUUUUUCAAUGGCCAUCUGGGGUAUAAGAGACAAGCACAGGAAUGUCCUGGUCCAGGCCAGCCUCUGAGGACUACACAAAGAGGACAUGCACCAAGUACUGAUGCUCACAAGUAAGAAA